rnacentral:rRNA from 1 species
CCCUUAGACGUUCUGGGCCGCACGCGCGCUAAACUGACCGGUGCAACAAGCAUCCGUCCUUGGCCGACAGGCCCGGGCAAUCUUUGAACGCCGGUCGUGAUGGGGAUAGACUUUUGCAAUUUUUGGUCUUCAACGAGGAAUUCCUAGUAAACGCAAGUCAUCAACUUGCAUUGAUUACGUCCCUGCCCUUUGUACACACCGCCCGUCGCACCUACCGAUUGAAUGGUCCGGUGAAGCCUCCGGAUUGGCGCGCACCUCGGUGCCGCCGAGAAGUUGGCUAAACCUUACCAUUUAGAGGAAGGUGAAGUCGUAACA